rnacentral:rRNA from 1 species
UGAGGAAUAUUGGUCAAUGGACGCAAGUCUGAACCAGCCAAGUAGCGUGCAGGAUGACGGCCCUCCGGGUUGUAAACUGCUUUAGUUCGGGAAUAACGACGGGGACGUGUCCCUGGAACGAAUGUACCGAAAGAAUAAGGACCGGCUAAUUCCGUGCCAGCAGCCGCGGUAAUACGGAAGGUCCGGGCGUUAUCCGGAUUUAUUGGGUUUAAAGGGAGCGUAGGCGGACUGUUAAGUCAGCGGUUAAAGAGUGUGGCUCAACCAUGCGAUGCCGUUGAAACUGGUGGUCUUGAGUGCACACAGGGAUGCUGGAACUCGUGGUGUAGCGGUGAAAUGCUUAGAUAUCACGAUGAACUCCGAUCGCGAAGGCAGGUGUCCGGGGUGUAACUGACGCUGAGGCUCGAAAGUGUGGGUAUCAAACA